rnacentral:misc_RNA from 1 species
AAGUCGUAACAAGGUUUCCGUAGGUGAACCUGCGGAAGGAUCAUUAUCGAAUUUACUGAGGGUUGUUGCUGGGCGCUCAAAGAGUGUCAAAAAGUGCACGCCCUCGUUCAUUCUCAAACCCCUGUGCACCUAUUGUAGGUUGGGUCGCGAGGGCUGACUUUGGUCGGUCUGAAAGCGCCUGGCUUAUGUUUUUAUUCACGCUUCAGUCAAAGAAUGUCAAUUUGCGGAUAACGCAUGUAUACAACUUUCAGCAACGGAUCUCUUGGCUCUC